rnacentral:rRNA from 1 species
AUUGAACGCUGGCGGAAUGCUUUACACAUGCAAGUCGAACGGCAGCGCGGACUUCGGUCUGGUGGCGAGUGGCGAACGGGUGAGUAAUGUAUCGGAACGUGCCCAGUCGUGGGGGAUAACGUAGUGAAAAUUACGCUAAUACCGCAUACGAUCUAUGGAUGAAAGCGGGGGAUCGCAAGACCUCGCGCGAUUGGAGCGGCCGAUAUCAGAUUAGGUAGUUGGUGGGGUAAAGGCCUACCAAGCCAACGAUCUGUAGCUGGUCUGAGAGGACGACCAGCCACACUGGAACUGAGACACGGUCCAGACUCCUACGGGAGGCAGCAGUGGGGAAUUUUGGACAAUGGGCGAAAGCCUGAUCCAGCCAUUCCGCGUGCAGGAUGAAGGCCCUCGGGUUGUAAACUGCUUUUGUACAGAACGAAAAGGUUUCUACUAAUACUAGGAGCUCAUGACGGUACUGUAAGAAUAAGCGCCGGCUAACUACGUGCCAGCCGCCGCAGUAA